GUGUCUAUUUUUUCCCCCUAAUUCUUGUCCAUUCUCUUUCAGAAUCAGAGGGUUUCUGAAAAUCCAUGAUUGAUUGAUAAUUUGAUAUAUUUCACCCAUGUUCAACUUGAGGGGAUGAAAAACUAAUUGAGUUAGUGUAGCUUCUCGGGGGUUGAGCGUUGGGUGUUGGGAUGGUGCGCGUGAGUACGGGAAUUAGAUUUCCCACCCCUGGGUUUAGAAUUGCCACCCCAUUUAAAAGUGGGGAAAAACCAAUAUUGCCCCUCCGUGUUUUAGUCCGAAUGUAUAACAUUCGGACUCCUCCGAAUUUUCAAAUGUCGGACUCAGUUAAUAAUAGAACAAAACUAUCAAUUCAGAUUCACAUUUGUAACGGGACAGAACAUCAACUCUCGGACUGGUUCAGGAGAAGCGACCCAGAGGCACCCAAAUCGACCUACACAUCACGACCAAAAGCAACCAAGAAUCAUCUGUGAUUCAAAACCGACCACACUGAGAUUAUGGCGAGGACAAAGCAAACUAAGAGGGUAUCGUCUGAAGAGUUGGCCGAUCGUCGUGCCUAUCUCCACGCUUCUCAUAGGCGAGGUGAUCAUGAUACAGAUGUGUCGACUUCUCGGAAGCGGGCUAGGAAGGGUGCUAGGAAGGGGACUCCGAAGGCGACCACUGAGGUUCCUGCCCCUGCUACUGAGGUUCCUGCUACUCAGGUUCCUGAUACUAAGGUUCCUGCCCCUGCUACUGAGGUUCUUGCUACUCAGGUUCCUGCUACUGAGGUUCCUGCUCUCUCGACGCCUGAGGUUACUGCUACUGAGGUUUCUCCUCAGUCGACGCCUGAGGUUACCGCCCACGAUACUAUUGAGCCUUCCACCUCUUCACUUGAUAUUGAUGCAGUUGAGGAGUCGGAGUCGGGGUCGGAGUCGGGGUCUGAGUCUGAGAUUGAGGGUGAGGAUGUAGAGGUAGAGGAUCCGAAUAUGCCGCCACUCCAGAGAGAUCCACCGUUUCCUGGUGGGCCGGUUGAGUUGUCACUUCUGCAGCAUUACCCGGAUCACAUAGCGCCGUGGACGUGGCAUACCCUACUAGGCACCACUGACCCUCGUUAUUCUGAGCGAGGUGAUUUGAGGCUUGCCACUGCUGGUACGAAGCUCGGGCUGAUGACGUGUGAGGGGGACAAUUACAGGGAGGUCCGCUUGAUUGUGGAGAGGAGCGGACUGUAUCCACUGGUCAGGUGCAGCUAUGUAGAGACGGAUCCAGGGCUUAUAUCGGCCCUUGUGGAGAGGUGGCACGAGGAGACUAGUAGUUUCCACAUGCCAUUUGGGGAGAUGACUGUCACCCUUGACGACGUCUCCGCUCUUCUUCACAUCCCGGUUGGUGGGAGAUUCUACACUCCAGGAGUGGCCUCGAGAUAUGAUGUGGCAGAGACCUGCGCUUUGCUGUUAGGGGGGAUGCAGAUUUGUACAUGGCUGAGUUUGAUAGGCUUAGGGGUCCGACUAUGAGGUUCAGCUUCUUGCGAGACCUUUACCCGAAAGCUGUUGCAGAGGGGCGGUACGAGCAUGCAGCCAGGAUGUACCUGAUGCAUCUUGUUGGCGCGACAUUGUUCGCCGACAAGAGUGGGGGGCACUCAUUCUCCGCCCGUUGGAUAGGCAUGCUACAGGAUCUUGAGCGGGUGUCGGAGUUCGCGUGGGGCGCCAUGGCCCUUGCCACGUUGUACGACCAGCUUGGACAGUCUUCUCGCAGCGGGGUCAAACAGAUGGGCGGUUACACUUCCCUGUUGAUGGCCUGGGUCUUUGAGCACUUUCCAGACAGGCUCGUUCGCCGGUAUGCGAACCCGGCUUACACAGAGGACCAGCCCAGAGCUCGUAGGUGGACAGAGUCACGGUCGGGGCAUGCUAGGCUUGACGAGAGGCGAGUACUACUUGAUGAGUUGACGGCCGACGACGUCACUUGGACUCCAUAUGAGGCCCACAGGGAAUGGCGACAGCGGGAUGAGAGGGCUUUGUUCUCAGGCUACAUUCGGUGUCCCUAUCCCCCUGCUGUGCGACCUCAUCUUCCGGAGCGGGUCAUGUGACAGUUUGGGUAUAUACAGACGAUCCCGCGCCACCCUAGUGAGAUGGAUAGAUCUCCCGCAGCUGAGGCUGUUGAUGCGGCAUUCGCAGGUUAUGUGCAGUACAUGUUCCCUGAGGGCGACCCUGCUAUAGAGGAGGGACAGGCUGUGGGCGGUUACAUGGAUUGGUACGCUAGAGUGUCUCAUUGUUUCAUCAUACCGGAUGAGAGGAGGAUUGAUCUCAGUGCCGUGGCUGCUUUGCGUAGGGCUUUAGAAGUCCUUGAGUUGUCACUUGAGGUGGAUGAUGCUUUGCUGCCAGGCACACAGGCCCGCGCUUUAACGGAGAGAGCACUUCGCAUCCUCCAGGACUUGGCUGGGACACAGGGCAUUGCUUACGCUGCUGGGAGAGGAGGUCUGGGAGCAGGUGGCCGAGUAGGUGGCCGAGCAGGUGGCCGAGCCGGCGGCCGAGCAGGUGGCCGGGAGGGCGGCAGGGCAGCAGGUGGCCGGGAGGGCGGCAGGGCAGGAGCCAGGGGAGGUCGUAGGGGUAGGGGAGGUCGUCGGGGUAG